GAAGACAGCUCGACCGUGAUGGAGGAGACAGGCAUUUAGAAUAAGCAUGAAAUAAAGGUGGCUGUUAAGGGGUCAGCUCCCCUCACCAAAGUCACUUUUGAUUUACUUACAAAAGUUUUCUUAAGAUUUCUUCAGAACCCAGGUCAAAAGGCUGUGGCAGGAGGCCAGGCAGAUCACAGCGUCCAUGCCUAGAUGCUCCCUGACCCCCAGGAACCAGAAGUGCUGUCUCCUGAAGGCUCUGGAAACCCGGAAUCAGCCUACGAGGCACCAGGGCCACCUUGGAGGGUGGAAAUGAGGACCUCAGGCCCCAGAGGGCAUGCAGGCGAGGUGAAGUUCAGGAGAGGGGAAAGAACAUGGGCUGUGUGGCCUUGGACCAAUUGCUUGCCCUCUCUGGGCCUUCUUAUUGGUGACAGACAGACUGGUGACUUUCUGAGAGGAUCUAUGCAACCUCAGGCUCCUGCACCUGGGUUACAGGGUCUUCUGGAGGGGAAGAGAUGAGCAGCAAGGACAAUAGCAGUGCUCCCUUCCCGGGUCAGUUGCAAGGAUUAAGGAUGAUGUCUGCAAAGUGCUUAGUCAGAGCCGGCAUACGG
ensembl:lncRNA LINC02783 long intergenic non-protein coding RNA 2783